AUUGAACGCUGGCGGCAGGCCUAACACAUGCAAGUCGAGCGGAUGAAGGGAGCUUGCUCCUGGAUUCAGCGGCGGACGGGUGAGUAAUGCCUAGGAAUCUGCCUGGUAGUGGGGGAUAACGUCCGGAAACGGGCGCUAAUACCGCAUACGUCCUGAGGGUGAAAGUGGGGGAUCUUCGGACCUCACGCUAUCAGAUGAGCCUAGGUCGGAUUAGCUAGUUGGUGGGGUAAGGGCCUACCAAGGCGACGAUCCGUAACUGGUCUGAGAGGAUGAUCAGUCACACUGGAACUGAGACACGGUCCUGACUCCUACGGGAGGCAGCAGUGGGGAAUAGUGGACAAUGGGCGAAAGCCUGAUCCAGCCAUGCCGCGUGUGUGAAGAAGGUCUUCGGAUUGUAAAGCACGUUAAGUUGGGAGGAAGGGCAGUAAGUUAAUACCUUGCUGUUUUGACGUUACCAACAGAAUAAGCACCGGCUAACUUCGUG
rnacentral:rRNA from 1 species